GUAAGGGUUUCGGCUUCAGAUCAUUACAGUUUUCAUAGUGAUUUGGUUAAGUAAUAUACUAAGUAAAGGAGUAUACAUCAUAAGUGUUGGCAAUAGAUUAAUAUUUCAUCGUAAUCCAACAAUACAAGAAGAUGGAACGAUUGAAGAAAUGGAGUCCUCCAUGGUCCUCUUUCUUCGUGAAGUAGAAGAAAAUUUUCAGUCCAUACACAUCUGGAAAGAAGUUACAUUGAUGUCGAAGAAACCAUCCUCCUCCGAUGAAAAGAGACGUCACUCUUGUUGCCUAGAGGUCCCCUCCUUUGCCAAGAUGCCUUCCAAUUUCACAGCCUUCCAAGGAAUCGAAAUCUACCAAACAGUCUUUGAUUUAUUCUCACCCUCUGCUCAUUUUUGGAAGCCCCCGAGUAAACCAAGGAAGGUAGGAUGAAACGACAAAGAGGGGCAGACCUUGAUAUUAUCUAAGGCCAAGGUUAACCCCGAGGCCGAUUCAAAAUUUUCUUGGACCAGAAAAAAAGCGUCCAGUCCAUUCGGAUGAUAUGUCGGCCUUUUUUCAAAAUUUGCGCUGAAGAUCGGGAUUUAUAUGGCCGUAGAAUCAAUUGAUUUUUGGGUUUUUUUGACUGGAUAACUACGUUCGACAAAUUAUCCUUCAGGUUUUUUUUUCAGUCAGUAAUUAUGAUUUGGUUGUUUCCUUGUGAAGUCGUCUCAGAACACGUCAGAUUAGGGGUACUCUGCCUUUUUGAAAAAUGCAGGGUAUAUUUUUCAGUAAUGCAAUUUUUUCAUCUUUCCUUCUCUUCUUAUUCUCUUCACCAUAAGGAUCAUGAUUUUAGGGAUCAUCGAAUGAAAAUAUCCAAAGCUAAAACAAUUUUCAAGUUUUUGAACAACAUGAGGUCGUCAUACAGCGUUGGACAUAUUCUGAAGAACAUUUUUUCAUAACAGAUUUACUAUUUUAUUCAGCAAUUUUAUUUAUCUGAAAGAACAUUCAGAUUCUUAUUAGUUUAAUGAUGUAUUCAAUAAUUAAUUCAAUAUUUUGAAUUUUCGAAUGAUAAUUUUCAAAAAACGACGAUCUUGCUAAAACAAUUCCUAAUUCUGGCUAUAAAAUUUUUCAAUAACCUCAGGUACACAUAUUGAACAUAGAAUGUGAAGAUUUUCCAUGUUUAUUGUUCGCUUUUUUUAAACUCAUUUCAAGAAUUUCUGUUAUGGAAUCAUUCAACUGUUUUUCGAAAUCUUUGAUCCACAGCCCAGAAUUUAUUUUCAAUUGACAAAUUUCUAUUUACCAUGUACUAUUCAUCAAAUUCAUGUACACAUAUUCUUUUUCUUCUUUUUCUCAAUGGAUGUUUCAGAUGAAUAUUUUCGAAUUUCAGUUUGUUGGGUAUACUUUAUUGAAUAGUUAGUUAAUUCCUAUAGAAUUUCAAGUCGACUAAUUUCAAUUGGAACUGAAACAAAAAACCACUUGGAUUCUUCGAUCAACAAUAUAUUUUUGUGCUUCUGUAUGAGUCUAAGUUAAUAAAUUAUUUUUCAGAGGGGUGUUCAAUUUGUUUGCAGACUGACUGGCAUGAUUUGAUUUUGAAUUACAAGGAAUUUUCAAAGUUACCAAAAUGUUAGGUAAUCCAUGUUUUUCAUCCUGUAUUAGGGAGUUCAAAUUGCUGAAAAAUAUUCCAUACAUCUUGUUUAAGGCAUAAUUAGUUUGAGAGUUACUGAAAAUUCUCUGAAUUUCUCAAAAUCCAAUUUUAAAACCUUACCUGGGGCGUGCAGGGGUGAAAAUCUUGAAAGGACUUCUAGGCCAAGGUGAAAUCCCCUUAAGGCUGCUUCGAAUUCAAUUUGGUCCGGCUCAGAAUUCAUUCAGAAUAACAGAUGGUUCUUAGGGUAGACUUCACCAGGAAAAAAAUUAUUUCUCUUUUCUAAUUCAACCAAAACAAGUAUCCCAAGAUUCAAAAUUUCAGGUAACGUGUGUAUAACGUAGUUGACAGUCUUUUUUCUCAACAUUCGUAUAUUCAUUUCGCAAAAUUGAAUCUAUCUGUAGUAAAAUGAACAGACAACGACGAUGAACAUUGUGUAUUUUGAAUUCGACAAUUUUCUCAACAGAUUUUCAAAUUCAAUCACUUACAUUCAAGAGGGAUUCCAUAUCUAUCUUUAGAUUCAAUUUUGUGUAUAAUUUUGCUAUAUUUUCUUUCAUUAUAAUUCAAUUUUUUUUCCUUAUUACAAAUUUUACAGAAUGGUUAUUGGAAAUAUUAUUUAAACAAGUCGACAAGAAUUGAACUUUACCAGAGAGAGUAUGUCACAGCUAGAAUCUUCAAGUUUCCCAUAUGAAGAGUGCCUUUUCUCUUCUCGUAGAAAAUGUCUUGAGAAUUUCGAACAUUUCAGAUUACUUGAUUAAGCUUUUCUGGCAUUCACUUUGCACAUAAUCUUUUAACAUUUUCAUAUAAAUGUCAGAUAUCUAAUUAUCUUCAACUGUCUAGUUUCAACACGUAUUGGUGGUGGUUUUCACUCAGAAAAUGUUCAAACUGAAUACUUAACACACGUAGGAAUCUAUCUAAUAUUUUCUGGUAGAUGCCAGAGGCCUUCUUCUACUGUUUUUUUUCUUUUUCUACGUGCUAGUGAUUAUGCCAUGCAAAGAAAAUCAUUUCAUACAUCUACGCGAUUUAUUUUCAUCAUGUUCAUAAGGUAUUAUUCCAAGAAAUUCAAGAAAUCGACAAUAUUGUGGUUCUUAAGCAAGAACUAAAACUGAUGUAGACGGUGUAGUCAAAGAGACCUACUGGGUGAGUAAUAUUUGUCUCUCAGUGUGAAGAAUGAGUGGUCGUCUUGGUGUGUGAUGGCCCUUAAUGAAAGACUGAACUAACCUCAAUUUUUAAUUCCAGAAAAGAAACUAAUUAAUCCUUCCAAUUCAAUUUCGAUAUUUCACUACUAAUCAAAUGAAUAUUAAUAAUUAUUCUUUAUAGCUAUGAGGAACUGGAAUGCCUAAACUAAUUGAAUAUUUUCCAAAACUUUUGAUUUGUGGUGAAAUACGUGCAUGCCUUGUACCUUUCAUAAUUUACUACGACAAAAUUUUUAUUUAUCUUCUCUUUAGGUAUGGUUACAUCCAAUUGAUCCACAGAGAUAAGAUGAAGAAGCACACAGGAUUCCUAAGGAGUUGAUGAAGAAGGAAAGAAGAAUGGAAGAAGGGACGCUGAACAGCAGAAGAAGGAAGAAGAACGGAAGAAGAAAGGAAGAAGGAAAGAAGAAUGGAAGAAGGAAAGAAGAAUGGAAGAAGGAAAGAAUAACAGAAGAAAGGAAGAGGAACAGAUGAAGAAAGAGCAAGAGGUUGUUCUGAACUGAAGAUGGGAUAAAACGCAGGAGAGAGAAAAAAUCAGUUUAUUAGAAUAGUGGCGAGGAUGAGAAGGCGACCACGAUGAAGAAGAUGUAGCAGGAUUCAAGAUAACCAGAAGAUUAUGGAGGACACGUUGGCCAUCACUAUCCAUCUGAGGACGUUUCAAGAUUUCUUCUCUUUCAAGGACUGAUCGACUGGUUGUUCACAGAAUACGGUAUGACUGCAUUUACUUCUCCAUUAAUUCGAUAUAUAGGUAUAGAAAAUUCAUGUAUCGUAGAAAUAAUGAUCUUCAAACUAUUCAAAAUUCUUUCCAAUUUUUUUUUAAUGAAUUUUAAAUGAAUAUUUCAAACUGUAUGAUGUGAACAACUCUUACUGAAAAUAUCUUAUUGUAAUGAAUAAAAUUUUGAGAUCUAAAGAGAACUGAACUUCGAAUACCUAAUGAAGAUAUAAAACUAACAAUUGUCAAUUAUAUUAAUCUUCCUUUUAUCUUCAUUGGAAGAUUCCGAUGUUAAAUAAACUUUGUCCACUUUAACCAUUUUCGUACAACAGAAUUAUAUUAUUGAAAUUAGUUUGUUUCAUUGGACAGUGUAGUUUCUCUUAAAUUUCAUAUACCUCUUUAGAUUCCUCAUGUGAAUUUAUCUUCAGCUAGUAAAAAAUUGAACUAGAGUUGAAUUUUGUUUUUAUAUAUAAAUCAUUCCACCAAUAAAAUCAUAUUUUAUAGUUGAAAAUUGUAUUUUUCUGAAAAUAUUCAAUUAUUUGGAGAAUUAAAACCAUUACUACCUAUAACUGUCUUUUUGUAUGUAUUUAAAGAAUAAAUUCAGCUUUAAUUAUUGUAUAUUUAUAAAUCCUGUCAUAUUUUGACCUAUUUAUAAUUUCCACAAAUAAAUUGUUCUUGUUAUUUAA